rnacentral:rRNA from 1 species
GACGAACGCUGGCGGCGUGCUUAACACAUGCAAGUCGAACGAUGAAGCCGGAGCUUGCUCUGGUGAAUUAGUGGCGGACGGGUGAGUAACACGUGAGUAACAUGCCCUUGACUCUGGGAUAACUGCGGGAAACUGUAGCUAAUACCGGAUACGACCCUCGGAGGCAUCUCCUGGGGGUGGAAAGAAUUUCGGUCAAGGAUGGACUCGCGGCCUAUCUGCUAGUUGGUGAGGUAAAGGCUCACCAAGGCGACGACGGGUAGCCGGCCUGAGAGGGUGACCGGCCACACUGGGACUGAGACACGGCCCAGACUCCUACGGGAGGCAGCAGUGGGGAAUAUUGCACAAUGGGCGCAAGCCUGAUGCAGCAACGCCGCGUGAGGGAUGACGGCCUUCGGGUUGUAAACCUCUUUUAGCAGGGAAGAAGCGAAAGUGACGGUACCUGCAGAAAAAGCACCGGCUAACUACGUGCCAGCCGCCGCCGUAA